UACGGAGGGGGCUAGCGUUGUUCGGAAUUACUGGGCGUAAAGCGCGCGUAGGCGGACCUGCAAGUCGGGGGGUGAAAGCCCGAGGCUCAACCUCGGAACUGCCUUCGAUACUGCGGGUCUCGAGUCCGGGAGAGGUGAGUGGAAUUCCUAGUGUAGAGGUGAAAUUCGUAGAUAUUAGGAAGAACACCAGUGGCGAAGGCGGCUCACUGGCCCGGUAACUGACGCUGAGGUGCGAAAGCGUGGGGAGCAAACAGG
rnacentral:rRNA from 1 species